AGACAUCGACGAAGCACCACGGGAUAGGACGAGUGCAACCCCCAGGCGACCUGCAGGAACUCCGUCGGGAGUUACAGCUGCUCCUGCAACCCACCUUUCGAGGGAGAUGGACGAACUUGUGAGUUCCCUUGCGAAAGCCAGGCCAAGUACUUCGAGGGUCUGGAAUGCGUGAAGCUUGUGAGGGAAAAGAAGACCUUUGAGGAGAUGAACGCCACCUGCCACCAGGCACAUGGCCGACUCCUUCAAGACUUCUCCAUUGAACGUUUACAGGAAGUUGGUUGGGCUUUUCGUUUUGGUUGGCUAGGCGUCCAAGAAGGGAAAUGGCUGGAGAGCGGACUCCCUCUACAAGAGGAGCUUUGGAAGGAAGGUUCUCGGGGAUCAGACCCUUCCAGGAGGAGGGGGCUUUGUGGCGUCAGUGAUUGGGAUUCUUCUUCGUCUUUGUACAAAGUGGUUCAAUUUGAUUGUUCAGAAAGGUGGUAUGGUUUCUGCCAGUUUUUAAUCCCACAGAAGUAGUCAGUCAACAUGAGGCUGAUCUUCUGUGUGAGGAGGAGGACGCAGAAUAAUAAUAAUAAUAAUAAUAAUAAUAAUAAUAAUAAUAAUAAUAAUAAUAAUAAUAAUAAUAAUAAUAAUAAUAAAUCAAUAAUCCUUCCUUGUCUGACAACAAAUUAUCGUAUGUUAUAAUAUUAAGUCAUUUAGACUCUGUUGCUUUUCAUUGAUGAUGUUCUUCUGUGUAAACCUCCUCUGAGGAUAUACUGAUCAUGAUAAUAAUUGAUAAUACUUUAUUGCUUUGCAAAGGUUAGUUAACAUAUAGAUAACCAUAACCUUUCAUUACACACUUAUUAUUAUAGGAAAUGUUUGGCAUAAAACAGAAUUGUUAUAAUUCUCUUCAAUGUGACAUUUCAACAAUAUACUAUGUUUAUUCAGCAGCA